rnacentral:lncRNA from 1 species
UACCUUGCAAGGUCCUCAUGCCCGUCAGACAGUUUUCACUUGACUUCAACCUCAUUUCAUGGAUCAGUGAACAAGGUUAAGUUUUGGUGGUAAAAUCCAUAUCUUGGAUACUAUAAGCGAUAGGUCUACUAUAUUCAGUGUUUGGAAGGACUGUAAGGUGUACAUGUCCAAAUGGCAGUUGUCAUCUGACCUUGACCCCAUUUUCAUGGUUCAGUGGUUAUAGUUAAGUUUUUGAGUUUUGGUCUUUUUUCUUAUACUACAUGUAUAUGCAAUAGGUCAACUAUAUUUGGUGUAUGAAAAUAUUUUAUGAUCUUCAUGUAUAUGUCAGUCGCGCAGGUUUUAUUUCACCUUGACCUCAUUUUCACGGUUCAUUGAUCAGUGUUAAGUUUUUGUGUUUUGGUUUGUUUUUCUUAUCCUGUAUGCAAUACGUAGACCUACUAUAUUUGGUAUAUGGAAUGAUUGUAAGGUGAACAUGUCUAGUUGGCAGGUGUCAUAUGACCUUGACCUCUUUCACAGUUCAUUUUCACAGUGUUAAGUUUUUGUGUUUUGGCCUUUUUUUCUUAAGCUAUAAGCAACAGGUCAACUAUAUUUGUUGUAUGGAAGAAUUGUCAUCUGCCCUUACCUCAUUUUCAUGGUUCAUUGGUCAAUGUUUAGUUUUCUUGGUUAAUGUUAAGUUUACGUGACAGUGUAAUAAAGCUUUACAUUUAGGACUACUGUGAAAGUACUUUAAUUCGUGGGUAUCAAUUUUCGUGGUUUGAGCAACAUUUACAUGUUCGUGGGUUUUUAAAUUCGUGGAUUUUGGUUUUCUAAAAUAUAUUUUAAUUUUGAAGCCAUUUGAAACGAAGGUUACAAAUUGACUGAAUUGAAAAAUAUUGCAAAGUAAACAUUGACCUUUGUAUAUCGUAGUGAUCACAAUAAUUAACCCGAAAUAGAGUGAUCAACAGAUUAAAGACCAUCAAAGGUGUUAAUUAGGCCAUAAACAUGUCACCUAAAGAAAACUGUUACAUAAACAAAUGCUAUAAAUGUAUCUUGAAUUGUAAAAUAGUACUUAUCAAGCAAACCCAACAUGCAAUUAUUAUUUCCCAUACGAGAAUUAUGGAGAUAUAAAAUGAACACAUUAUCAAAGCAUAUCAAUACGGGAAAUCUGACUUUCAUCGAUCCAAAAUAUUUUUUAUGAGAAUUAAAAGAUCAAGAGUUGUACAGUUUAGGUUUUUAAAUAUUAAAUGAGUAUAAUCCUGCCUGUAGUUGUAGUUCAUAGUUCGUUUGCCCUGUGACUACUUAUAUAGUAUUCUCAGAUUUGGCAAUAUCCAAUAUAUUUAAUAGGUCAUAUCAGUAGACAAACCUACAUGGGAUCUUCCCAUGUCUUUAUUUGGACAACGGUUGUUUUAUUCCAUUGGACAUUUAAAUUCGUGAAUAAAGUCAUCCACGAAAACCACGAAAAUUGGUUCCCCACGAAUAAAAGUACUUUCACAUAUGUACGUACAGUAUCAACAUAAUAUCAAUAAUUAGUAAGGAAGGCGAGACAUUCCAGCAUGUGCACUUUUGUUAAGAUUUUAGUGUUUUUUGUUCUGUCUGACAUCUAAACAAAUCAAGCAUUUAUCAUGUUAAUUAACUAGACAGUGUUUCUGAU